UGGCCUUGCAGCGCUCGCAGGGUGCCCUUAGCUCCGCCCACCGAGGCACACUGGGGAUGAGCCUCCCGCUGCAGGGGCUGCUGGCAGCAUGUUGUUCCCAGGGGGCUGCCUACACACGUGACACUUCCCCUCCCUGUAUGCCUGGCAGUUAUUUACAUCUCUACUAGCCACUGUGGAGUUGCACUCCCACCCCCUUUUCAGUGUCCUCCAUAAUGUUUGUGUGUCCUUCCUUUGGGGGUUUUGUCACAUGUUAGCUUGAAACUCACAUGGAGCCCAGCACUGGCAAGAUAAUUGGCCUGCACAACAUACGGCCUGAGGGCUGCAUGCCGCCCGCAGGGGCUCACUGUGUGGCCCGUGCCGACUAUGGGCGGUGUGGCCCCAUCCGAUCCGCUGGCUGGGCGGAGGAGUGGAGCGCCACCAGGAAGGGGGAAGUGCGUCCGGACUUCCUGUAUGCAGCUCUGGCACGAGGAGGCGGGGUACGAGCCAGAGGGCGGGACAGCGGCAGACGCCAGGAUGCUGGCGUGACGUGGCGUUGUGACGUCACGGCCGGCGACAGCCAGAUUCAAAAAGGCCCCGGCAGCAUCGCAAACUGGAAGGCAGAAGCCAGGGAUUUCCAUGAAGCCUCUGGUUCCAAGCACUGUCUGAGAGGACCUCAUACUAGAUGGACACUAAUCUGAUCAAGGAUGACAGCUCCUAUGCACCUGAAGCUACAUACUGACAUUGUGAUAUAAAGCCUCUGGGAAUUUUGGUUGAAUGCUUCGAUGAAAGCACCAGCUUUCAGAUAUGUCAGAGUGCACACUGAGUACUGGACAAACAAUCUUUGACAUCUUUAUGGACUAACUAAAAAGGCUCUGUGCUCCUCAAGCUAAGUUUGUUGCUUUUUCCACUGUCAAUGUACCUUCUAAUGUUGUUGUCCAAACUAAGAAAUAUGUGCUGCCUCUAUUAUUUGGCAGAUACCUGCAACAAGUUUGGGAUUAAGGGU